GACGAACGCUGGCGGCGUGCUUAACACAUGCAAGUCGAACGGUGAAGGGGUCUGCUUUUGUGGGCCCUGGAUGAGUGGCGAACGGGUGAGUAACACGUGAGUAACCUGCCCCCUUCUUCUGGAUAACCGCAUGAAAGUGUGGCUAAUACGGGAUAUUCUGGGUCUGUCGCAUGAUGGGUCUGGGAAAGAUUGCGCCUUUGGGUGUUUUUGGUGGGGGAUGGGCUCGCGGCCUAUCAGCUUGUUGGUGGGGUGAUGGCCUACCAAGGCGGUGACGGGUAGCCGGCCUGAGAGGGUGGACGGUCACACUGGGACUGAGACACGGCCCAGACUCCUACGGGAGGCAGCAGUGGGGAAUAUUGCACAAGGGGCGCAAGCCUGAUGCAGCGACGCCGCGUGAGGGAGGGAGGCCUUCGGGUUGUAAACCUCUUUCGCCAGUGAAGCAGGCCUGCUCCUUGUGGGUGGGUUGACGGUAGCUGGAGAAGAAGCGCCGGCUAACUACGUG
rnacentral:rRNA from 1 species